CAGCAGCCACGGUAAUACGGAGGAUCCGAGCGUUAUCCGGAAUUAUUGGGUUUAAAGGGUGCGUAGGCGGAUAGAUAAGUCAGUGGUGAAAGACGGUGGCUCAACCAUCGCAGUGCCGUUGAUACUGUUUAUCUUGAAUAUGGAUGAGGUAGGCGGAAUGCGGCAAGUAGCGGUGAAAUGCAUAGAUAUGCCACAGAACACCGAUUGCGAAGGCAGCUUACCAAGGCAAAAUUGACGCUGAGGCACGAAAGCGUGGGGAUCGAACAGGAUUAGAUACCCCAGUAGUCCCUGUCUCUUAUAC
rnacentral:rRNA from 1 species